UGCGGCUGCUAUACAUGCAAGUCGAGCGGACAGAUGGGAGCUUGCUCCCUGAUGUUAGCGGCGGACGGGUGAGUAACACGUGGGUAACCUGCCUGUAAGACUGGGAUAACUCCGGGAAACCGGGGCUAAUACCGGAUGGUUGUUUGAACCGCAUGGUUCAAACAUAAAAGGUGGCUUCGGCUACCACUUACAGAUGGACCCGCGGCGCAUUAGCUAGUUGGUGAGGUAACGGCUCACCAAGGCAACGAUGCGUAGCCGACCUGAGAGGGUGAUCGGCCACACUGGGACUGAGACACGGCCCAGACUCCUACGGGAGGCAGCAGUAGGGAAUCUUCCGCAAUGGACGAAAGUCUGACGGAGCAACGCCGCGUGAGUGAUGAAGGUUUUCGGAUCGUAAAGCUCUGUUGUUAGGGAAGAACAAGUACCGUUCGAAUAGGGCGGUACCUUGACGGUACCUAACCAGAAAGCCACGGCUAACUACGUGCCAGCAGCCGCGGUAAUACGUAGGUGGCAAGCGUUGUCCGGAAUUAUUGGGCGUAAAGGGCUCGCAGGCGGUUUCUUAAGUCUGAUGUGAAAGCCCCCGGCUCAACCGGGGAGGGUCAUUGGAAACUGGGGAACUUGAGUGCAGAAGAGGAGAGUGGAAUUCCACGUGUAGCGGUGAAAUGCGUAAAGAUGUGGAGGAAUACU
rnacentral:rRNA from 1 species